AUGUCGUGCAACACCCUGGAGUUAGUAUGCUGGAAUGUUAGGGGUCUCAAUAAUCCAGCCAAGAGGAAGGCUCUUCGAGGGUUCGUGGACUCUGUCCGUGCGGCGAUCGUUUGUAUUUUAGAAACUAAGUUAGAAGUGGUGGACAAGUAUGUAAUUUUGCAAUGCAUGGGACCAAAUUAUGAUGGUUUCACUUAUUUACCGGCGUCGGAGACUAGAGGAGGUAUU
rnacentral:rRNA from 1 species